rnacentral:ncRNA from 1 species
CUUAUCACGAGUGACUGAGGGACGGGCCCGAUGACGUCACGGCAACCGGCAAAAAGCAAGGUGCCAAAUCCCGCAGCGUGCACACCCCAAUGGGAGGCGCUGACAGAUAAG